GGGCUGGUAGCUUAGACAGGCAGAGCGUCGGACUCUUAAUCCGACGGCCGUGGGUUCAAAUCCCUCCCAGCCCGCUA
rnacentral:tRNA from 1 species